rnacentral:rRNA from 1 species
UACGUAGGGUGCAAGCGUUAAUCGGAAUUACUGGGCGUAAAGCGUGCGCAGGCGGUUAUGCAAGACAGAGGUGAAAUCCCCGGGCUCAACCUGGGAACUGCCUUUGUGACUGCAUGGCUAGAGUACGGUAGAGGGGGAUGGAAUUCCGCGUGUAGCAGUGAAAUGCGUAGAUAUGCGGAGGAACACCGAUGGCGAAGGCAAUCCCCUGGACCUAUACUGACGCUCAUGCACG